GGUAGUAGCAAAUAUUCAAAUGAGAGCUUUGAAGACCGAAGUGGAGAAAGGUUCCAUGUGAACAGCAGUUGGACAUGGGUUAGUCGAUCCUAAGAGAUAGGGAAAUUCCGUUUGCAAGCGCCCGAUCUUGGGCCGCCUAUCGAAAGGGAAUCGGGUUAAUAUUCCCGAACCGGGACGCGGAUAUUGCCGUUCGCGGCAGAUGCGGUAACGCAAACGAACCCGAAGACGCUGGCGGGGGCCCUGGGAAGAGUUCUCUUUUCUUUUUAACGAGCUUUCACCCUGAAAUCAGCUUGCCUGGAGAUAGGGUUUAAUGCUCGGUAAAGCACCACACUUCUUGUGGUGUGCGGUGCGCUCUCGACGGCCCUUGAAAAUUCGGGGAAGACAUUGAUUUUCGUGUCCGGUCGUACUCAUAACCGCAGCAGGUCUCCAAGGGUGAGCAGCCUCUGGUU
rnacentral:rRNA from 1 species